CAGGGUGUAACACAGCUUGGUAGUGUGUUUGCUUUGGGAGCAAACGGUCGCAGGUUCAAAUCCUGCCACCCUGA